ACUGGACCUAGGGCUGGGGGUAAGGCUGACAUCUGCCACCAACGACUGAGGUUGAGGCUGGGGUCCAUUGUGGGAGUUYGAUACCCGCUCCCUCUUAGUGACARGGCUUGUCCUGGCGUGGAGCCUAGUGUUGGUGGUGGUGGYAGGAUCCGCUGUUGGUUCCUCUGUUCUUUUGGCGGUUUUGGUAGUGUCAGGCCUGGUCUCUUCUGUUUUAGUGGGGGUGCUGUUGGUGGUGGUUUUGGGAGGCUCUGGGCUGGUGUUUUCUAGUCCGGUGCUGUCGGUUGUGGUGGUUUUGCGAGGGUCCGGUCUUGGUUCUGGACCCGUCAGGUCUGUGGUGCUGCUGCUCCCUCCGACCCCGUCGACGUCCGUCCGAUCCAUACAGUCCUCACCCGGGUCCAAAACCAUCUCCACUGCAACAGCUCUGCUGCCGCUGGUCCAACCACACCACACUGCAAACACAAGACGGUCAGCUUUAGGGUCUGUCACAAAUUACCCAUUGAUUGCUAUGACCUUUUUAAUGCAGUCAGUGCUUGUGUCAGGAACAGGUGACAACAAGUUGAAAAACAUUUGUGCCAUCGCUUUAACUGGAUUACAUGAAUCCAUUACUGGCCUAGGAGCCAUCUGGACAGGGACACACACAUGUCCAGCGGUCUGAUUGCGCAAGUAUACCUCCGAUUUGAAUCGGCCUGCCCUGCAACAUAGACAGGGCUCGGUCAGGGGCGGGGUUUCUGUGCUGCUGAAUACGAAACUAGGUGGUCGGGACAGCGGGACGGGCUCCAGUCAUCCCAUAUAUGGGACUAGUAAUGACUUCAAAACAAAAAACCAAAGAUCCGAAUCAUAUAGAUGUUUUAGCCUACUACAUAUCUAGCCUGUAUUUACACAAGGCGAUCGCGACUUCUGCUGUGUAUUGUAUUGAGGUUUAAUUAUCCUUUCGGACCACCAAAGUGUAUUGCAUACAMAUUUGCAGCAUAUCUCUCCGUUAUUGUGACAUUGUCGUAAUGUAAUGGAACAAAUAGUMUUUUGUAGAGUACAGCAAAACGUUUUUAUGACACCGUGUUAUUAUUAUAGUCAUGCCAAUAGCCAUAAUUGUCAAUAUAUUGUAUUCAAUGACAGUAAAGGAUGAAUCGACAAAAAAUAACGGUUUUCUAUCAACAUGUGUAGUUUUCUUCUGAUCUGAUCUUCAGGAUCAGAUAAUAAAUCGAGGAUGAAUGAAACAAGACAAUAACCGAAACUCCAAUAAUCGUAUUCAUAAAUGUUUUUACCUUGCAGCGGGGUUUGGUGAUCAGAUUUGUAAAUGUAGGCUUUUCUUUAAUUCAUGACGCCCAGCUCUGCUUGUGCUCUCCACAAUGAGCCGCGGGAAGGUUUCCGGUGGCGCCCGGUGAAAAAUGCUCAUUGGAUAUGAGCAGCUAUAGUGGAUGGGCCGCCCGGAGAGGCAUGCGAGGAAGUUCGGACUGUGUUGGAAGAUAUGACGCGAUGGCACAGCUGAGGAACUCGAAAGUGCCAUGCGCAGUGCGUGCCGCUAUUCUGCGUCCUUACGCACGUGGCAUCUCUCGGAGGCAACAGAGCAACGAGGAGCACGUAGGCUACGUUCYCCGAGKUUCACAUAAACCCCACAUAAAUAYAACGGUUAGAGUCUUCAUAGUGAAAUCCAUAUAUUGAGAUAUACAGAGCCUUCGGAAAGUAUUCAGACCCCAUGACUUUUUCCAGAUUUUUUUACGUAUUAUAAAGCCGUAUUAUAAAAUGGAUUAAAUGACAACAAAAAAAAAUCUCAGCAAUCUACAUACACACAAUACCGCAUGACAAAUCAAGAACCGUUAAAAACAAAUCUUUGCAAAUUUAUCAAAAAAACAGAAAUACCUUAUUUACAUAAGUAUUCAGACCCUUUGCUAUGAGACUUGAAAUUGAGAUCAGGUGCAUCCUGUUUCCAUUGAUCAUCCUUGAGAUGUUUCUACAACUUGAUUGGAGUCCACCUGUGGUAAAUUCAAUUGAUUGGACAUGAUUUGGAAAGAUACACACCUGUCUAUAUAACGUCCCACAGUUGACAGUGCAUGUCAGAGCAAAAACCAAGACAUGAGGUCAAAGGAAUUGUCUGUAGAGCUCCGAGACAGGAUUGUGUUGAGGCACAGAUCUGAGGAAGGGUACAAAAACCUUCUGCAACAUUGAAGGUCUCCAAGAACACAGUGACCUCCAUCAUUCUUAAAUGGAAGAAGUUUGUAACCACCAAGACUCUUCCUAGAGCUGGCCGCCCGGCCAAACUGAGCAAUCGGGGGAGAAGGUUGUAGCGUCAUACCCAGAGACUCAACUCUGUAAUCGCAGCAAAAGCUUCUUCAACAAAGUACUGAGUAAAGGGUCUGAAUACUUCUGUAAAUUUGAUAUUUCAGUUUUUCUUUUUUUAUAAAUGAGAAAACAAAUUUUAAACCUGGUUUUGCUUUGUCAUUAUGAGGUAUUGUGAUGUCAUUAUGAGGUAUUGUGUGUAGAUUUAUGAGGGGGAAAAAAACAAUUUUAAUCAAUUUUACAAUAUGGCUGUAACGUAACAAAAUGUGGAAAAAGUCAAGGGGUCUGAAUACUUUCCGAAAUCACUGUAAGGCUCUGGGUGUUUCUAUCUAUCAGUCAAUAGACCUAUGGUUAAACGGUCCUCAGAAGCCUUCCCAUCCAAAGGUCUUCAAUUAAGUCCCCAUGCAGUCUUUUUAAUUAAAUGUUUAAAUAACUUUGUCUAAUAUAUCAUUGUGUGUUUAUUUCAUAUAUUUUAUUUAUUUAUAAUUUAUUUUCCCGAGAUUCCUUUUGCCAUUGAAAUGCUCAAUCUGAUUGUGUGGCUCUGCCGAUACACAUGUUAAUAUGCUGGAGAAUAGGAUCCUCCAGGCUCUGGUCUAGAGCUGACCCCUUCAAGGGAGGAGGAGACAUAUGCAAAUAAAAGAUGAUUGGUCAUAAUAAUCUGAUUGUGAUGUCAUGCUGUGAGCCAAUAACUCCAUCCCGCCUGAACAGAAUUAAAUUCCAGGCGAUUUUUUCCCCCUCUCUCUCCAAAAAGAUUACACUAAAAAUACAUUAUCAUAAUGUUCACAAUUUCAGUGUUAUUUCGACCUCAUAGAGUGGAAAUAUAAUUUUAAAAAUAAAUAGGAGAAUCACGUUUUUGACUGUACUGCCCCUUUAACAGCAUAAUAAUUUAAUCAACAAAAUGUAAGCUAUGUUACUUACUACAAUCACUCUGCAUAGGAUAGAAAGAUCCUCAAAAUUACUUUUAUUUCAGAGUUAAGUUUAUAAAAUAACGUUGGUUCGUGUAUGAUUUCACAUUUUGGUUAAUUUAAUUUCAUGUAACCAUUAAUCAAUAUAAGUAGGCUAGUUUAGAUUAGUAGAAUAUUUGAUACUGUUGAUCACUCACUGCUAAUUUCCUCAGUUGGCCUAGACCAGGCUGCAUGUAACUGGUUUAAACAAUUACUUGACAGGUAGAGCUCAAUGUGUAUCUACGGAUGAGGCUAAAUCGGGUUUCCUUGAUAUUAAGAAAGGUGUCCCACAGGGGUCUAUUCUGGGUCCUGUACUCUUUACUGUUUGUAUCAAAAAUAUCGACUUGUCUGUAAAACAAACUGUAACCUACACUUGUAUGCCGUUGAUACUGUUGUGUAUGCUAUUGACCCCAACGUUGACCAGGCUCUAUCUGAACUACAGUCUGCCUUCAUUGUAUUACAGAACAACUCAAUUGACCUGAAAUUAGUAUUGAAUGCAGGUAAAAAACAAAGUACAUGUUGUUCUCUAGAGCACAUAAAAACAACUACGAUGAUUUCAGCAUAUGUACUUUGGAUGGUUCUUCAUAUUGAUCGUGUACCUGCUCACAAAUACCUGGGCAUCUGGAUAGAUGGAAAGCUGUCUUUUAAAAAGCACAUUGAUGAGUUAGCUGAGAAUUAAAAUGGGCUUUUCUUCUAUAGAAACAGGUCCUGCCUCUCGCUAAAUGGUAGAAAGCAGAUCAUUCCGACAAUAGAUCAUGAAUCUGCCGCUUGACCUCAGAAAACAAAUAAAAAUGAAUUGGUGAAGACCAAAAAAAUCAAGAUAUAUAUACACACGCACACACGACACACACACACCACAAACCACACCAACACACACACACACACACACACACACACACACACCACACACACACACACAAACACACACACACACACACACACACACACACACACACACACACACACACACACACACACGUCUUAUGAGGGAGCAGAGCAGUCUGGGUCUUCAUGUGUCAGAGAUGGUUGAGAUGCUGAAGAUUGUAUAGUUUGAUCUGGUAUCUGAUGUUCUAGUCGCGUUCUAUGUCUGAGUUCUGUUUCUCUCAUUAUAUAGAACACUAUUACAUAACAACUCAACAGUGAAAAGCCCUUCCCUCAAUUCUGUUCCUCUUCCCUGGUCAAAAGUAGGAUCACUUCAGCACUGCUGACAAUAACAACUUGUGUAGAAUUGCUUGCUCAGCAUUCAUAUGUACAUUAUGCAUUGGUUUUAACAUUCUCACAAGAUCUUACAAUAGGUUGUCAAACAGAGUUAUAG
rnacentral:lncRNA from 1 species